rnacentral:rRNA from 1 species
GACGAACGCUGGCGGCGUGCUUAACACAUGCAAGUCGAACGGAAAGGCCUCUUUCGGGGGGUACUCGAGUGGCGAACGGGUGAGUAACACGUGAGUAACCUGCCCUUGACUUUGGGAUAACUUCAGGAAACUGGGGCUAAUACCGGAUAGGAGCUCCUGCUGCAUGGUGGGGGUUGGAAAGUUUCGGCGGUUGGGGAUGGACUCGCGGCUUAUCAGCUUGUUGGUGGGGUAGUGGCUUACCAAGGCUUUGACAGGUAGCCGGCCUGAGAGGGUGACCGGCGACAGGGAGAGUGGUAUACGGCGCGGGCGAGGGGGGGGGGGAGGGGGGGGGAAGAUUGCACACGGGGUGGAAGCGUGGGGCAGCAGGGGGGGGUGGGGGAUGGGGGCGUUCGGGUGGGAAAAGGUGGUCGCUUAGGUGGGGGCGUUGGGUGAGGGUGGUGGGUAAAGAAGGAACGGCUAACUACGGGUGAGCAGCAGGGGUAAUAAGAGGAAGAGCACACGUGUGAAC